rnacentral:rRNA from 1 species
CGGGGGGAGCAAGCGUUGUUCGGAUUUACUGGGCGUAAAGGGCGCGUAGGCGGCCUCUGCAAGUCGACUGUGAAAUCUCCGGGCUUAACCCGGAAAGGUCAGCCGAUACUGCAGGGCUAGAGUGCAGAAGGGGCAACUGGAAUUCUCGGUGUAGCGGUGAAAUGCGUAGAUAUCGAGAGGAACACCUGCGGCGAAGGCGGGUUGCUGGGCUGACACUGACGCUGAAGCGCGAAAGCUAGGGGAGCGAACGGGAUUAGAUACCCCGGUAGUCCUAGCCUUAAACGAUGAAUGCUAGGUGUCUGGGGUUUUAUAGUCCCCGGGUGCCGUCGCUAACGCUUUAAGCAUUCCGCCUGGGGAGUACGGUCGCAAGACUG